rnacentral:rRNA from 1 species
CCUACGGGAGGCAGCAGUGGGGAAUAUUGGGCAAUGGGCGCAAGCCUGACGCAGCAACGCCGCGUGAAGGAAGAAGGCUCUCGGGUUGUAAACUUCUUUUCUCAGGGACGAAGCAAGUGACGGUACUUGAGGAAUAAGCCACGGCUAACUACGUGCCAGCAGCCGCGGUAAUACGUAGGUGGCAAGCGUUAUCCGGAUUUACUGGGUGUAAAGGGCGUGUAGGCGGGAAAGCAAGUCAGAUGUGAAAACCAUGGGCUCAACCUGUGGCCUACAUUUGAAACUGUUUUUCUUGAGUAUUGGAGAGGCAGACGGAAUUCCUGGUGUAGCGGUGAAAUGCGUAGAUAUUAGGAGGAACACCAGUGGCGAAGGCGGUCUGCUGGACAGCAACUGACGCUGAGGCGCGAAAGCGUGGGGAGCAAACAGGAUUAGAUACCCGGGUAGUC